rnacentral:lncRNA from 1 species
AACAGACUAAAACAGCUUUCAAGUGUGAUUAGAGUCAACAACCCUGACUAGGUUGGUGUCUAUCACCCACAAGCCACUUAAGGAAAAUGCUUUUCCUCUGCUGUGACUGCUGUUGUCCUUCAUGAAAUAAAUACUGCCCAGCCCAGGAAGCAAGCUUCAGACACUCCGAAAGUCACAACACCCUUGAGAUGCCAAAUGACAAUGUGUUCUGUAAAUCAAACGACGUGACGGAGGUGAAGAAUGGCCUGGAAAGAAGGAUGCUCUACAAUAAAAGAGUUUAAACAAGACACAACUACAAAGCCACCACCUUCUGG